CAUUGUAGUAUAUUGUUGUGAUCAUCUAUUUUAUUAUUGUUCAUCUUACUGACCCUAAUUUAUAAAUUUGUCACAGGUAUCUAUGUACAUAUGUAUAGGAAAAAACACAGUACAUAUGUAUCAGAAAAGACAUAGUACUUCUUGGUGCUCUGCAGUUUGAGGCAUCCACAGAAGUUCUUGGAGAGUAUCGCCUAUGAGAAAGAAGAGCCAUCUCUGUGGAAAGGUUGGACAUUACAAGAAGUAUAGGAAGAAGAUGAGACACAGUGGGGCCUUGUCACUUGGGGCUUGGGCAGUGACCCUUAUGGUCAGGGAAUCUUUGUCAUCACUUAUGCCAACUACAGCAGAAGUAGUGGAAGAUAUCCCAGCAUUGGUCAGGGUCCUUGAUAGUGCUGGAGCUGGCAUCCAUUGGCUUUGUGAGAGUCUCUUCAAGCCAGGUGAGGACUGAAGAUGAAGUCCCUAACCAUGAACACAAACUUGCCAGGGAGAUUUCUCCAGAGAAGAAAACUAAGUUUCUAGUUUCACUUUUAAAACACAUUUAUUUUUUGUUGUAAAUAGCUUAAGUAUAGUCUUAAAGCUUUGAAAUAAAUUAAAAAUCAUUUAUAAUGCCACUAUGUACAUUUCCUUUCUUCUUCCCUUUAUAAAUGGAUUUUAUCUACACAGCUAUCAUCACAGACUGCUAUAUUAGUUAUCAAUUGCUGCAUGAGAGACCACCCCAAAACAUAGUGACAGCAGUGGCUCUUGAUUCUCCUGAGAGGUUCUUUUGGGUUGGACUGAUCUCAAAUGCACUCGCUCAUGCACCUGAGGUCAUUUGACCUUAGAUAGUAUUGUAGUCAAGAUUUGCAAGGGAAUAGAUUUAAUACGGAAC
rnacentral:lncRNA from 1 species